CCUACGGGAGGCAGCAGUGGGGAAUAUUGGACAAUGGGCGCAAGCCUGAUCCAGCAAUGCCGCGUGAGUGAUGAAGGCCUUAGGGUCGUAAAGCUCUUUUACCAGGGAUGAUAAUGACAGUACCUGGAGAAUAAGCUCCGGCUAACUCCGUGCCAGCAGCCGCGGUAAUACGGAGGGAGCUAGCGUUGUUCGGAAUUACUGGGCGUAAAGCGUACGUAGGCGGUUAUUCAAGUCAGAGGUGAAAGCCCGGGGCUCAACCCCGGAACGGCCUUUGAAACUAGGUAGCUAGAAUCUUGGAGAGGUCAGUGGAAUUCCGAGUGUAGAGGUGAAAUUCGUAGAUAUUCGGAAGAACACCAGUGGCGAAGGCGACUGACUGGACAAGUAUUGACGCUGAGGUACGAAAGCGUGGGGAGCAAACAGGAUUAGAUACCCUGGUAGUCCACGCCGUAAACGAUGAUAACUAGCUGUUCGGGCACUUGGUGCUUGAGUGGCGCAGCUACGCAUUAAGUUAUCCGUCCGUCGGGUAGGUACGGUCGCGAGAAGUUAAACGUAACAAAUAGAAGUUAAGUACGGUCGUUGAGUACGUUAGCCGAACGGACGACGACGAGGGAGGAGG
rnacentral:rRNA from 1 species